CCUUGUACAUAAAAACAAAGGAAUUUAUUUUCACUCCCUACUUUGGCAAUGUCUUUCAUUCUUUCCUGUCUUUAAUCCUUCUGUUUUAGGUUUUACACAAUUAUACUCAUAAUGGGCAUACCAUCUUUGACACAUUGUUCCAGCAUUCAUUGUUUAUGCACCACACCCAGUGCUCCAUGCAAAAAUCACUCAACUUUGGGUCAAGACGGAGAGCUGCUCAAAUAUUCCUUGCCUAGCAGUAGGAGGAUAAAGAAGGGUGGAGAGAUCCUCAGCCCACUGGGUGGCCGGCUCGUCAUGGAAGAUGAAGCUGUGUCUGUGGCUGCCGGAAAUGGAGGGGACAUCCUGUGACUGAGGCAGACAAUGGGGGCGACUGCAUCAUGUGGCAUUUAGGAUUGGAUGAGAUGUCAAAUCUAAUCUGAAAACUGGAGAGAUCUGAACAGUUUGGCAUAUCUGAGGGUCCAAAACUCUCAGAUCCACAGUAGGUGUUGAAAGCUCUGAUAGCUGCAGAGAGCCACAGUGAGAACAG
rnacentral:lncRNA from 1 species